rnacentral:rRNA from 1 species
UGCUGCAUGGUUGUCGUCAGCUCGUGCCGUGAGGUGUCGGGUUAAGUCCCAUUAACGAGCGCAACCCUUAUCGUUAGUUGCCAUCUGGUAAUGCAGGGGACUCUAGCGAAACUGCCACCGUAAGGUGAGAGGAAGGUGGGAUGACGUCAAAUCAGCACGGCCCUUAUGUCCAGGGCUACACACGUGUUACAAUGGUCGGUACAGAGGGCAGCUACCUGGUGACAGGAUGCUAAUCUCGAAAACCGGUCUCAGUUCGGAUUGCAGGCUGCAACUCGCCUGCAUGAAGCCGGAAUCGCUAGUAAUCGCGGAUCAGCAUGCCCGCGGUCGAAUACGUUCCCGGGCCUU